CUAGAGGAUGAUCAGCCACACUGGAACUGAGACACGGUCCAGACUCCUACGGGAGGCAGCAGUGGGGAAUAUUGGACAAUGGGCGCAAGCCUGAUCCAGCCAUACCGCGUGGGUGAAGAAGGGCUUCGGGUUGUAAAGCCCUUUUGUUGGGAAAGAAAUCCUGUCGGUUAAUAACCGGUAGGGAUGACGGUACCCAAAGAAUAA
rnacentral:rRNA from 1 species